rnacentral:rRNA from 1 species
UAGCUAAAUGCGGAAGAGAUAAGUGCUGAAAGCAUCUAAGCACGAAACUUGCCCCGAGAUGAGUUCUCCCUGAGACUUUAAGUCUCCUGAAGGAACGUUAAAGACUAUGACGUUGAUAGGCCGGGUGUGUAAGCGCAGCGAUGCGUUGAGCUAACCGGUACUAAUGAACCGUGAGGCUUAACCUUACAACGCCGAAGCUGUU